rnacentral:rRNA from 1 species
GACGAACGCUGGCGGCGUGCUUAACACAUGCAAGUCGAACGAUGAACCACUUCGGUGGGGUUUAGUGGCGAACGGGUGAGUAACACGUGGGCAAUCUGCCCUGCACUCUGGGACAAGCCCUGGAAACGGGGUCUAAUACCGGAUAUGAGCCAGAACCGCAUGGUUCUGGUUGUAAAGCUCCGGCGGUGCAGGAUGAGCCCGCGGCCUAUCAGCUUGUUGGUGAGGUAACGGCUCACCAAGGCGACGACGGGUAGCCGGCCUGAGAGGGCGACCGGCCACACUGGGACUGAGACACGGCCCAGACUCCUACGGGAGGCAGCAGUGGGGAAUAUUGCACAAUGGGCGAAAGCCUGAUGCAGCGACGCCGCGUGAGGGAUGACGGCCUUCGGGUUGUAAACCUCUUUCAGCAGGGAAGAAGCGAAAGUGACGGUACCUGCAGAAGAAGCGCCGGCUAACUACGUGCCAGCCGCCGCAGUAAGAC